rnacentral:rRNA from 1 species
CCGGCGAUGUCCGAAUGGGGAAACCCAGUGCAAUUCGUUGCACUAUCGUUAACUGAAUACAUAGGUUAACGAGGCGAACCGGGGGAACUGAAACAUCUAAGUACCCCGAGGAAAAGAAAUCAACCGAGAUUCCCCCAGUAGCGGCGAGCGAACGGGGAGCAGCCCAGAGUCUGAAUCAGCUUGUGUGUUAGUGGAACGGUCUGGAAAGUCCGACGGUACAGGGUGAUAGUCCCGUACACCAAAAUGCACAGGCUGUGAACUCGAAGAGUAGGGCGGGACACGUGGUAUCCUGUCUGAAUAUGGGGGGACCAUCCUCCAAGGCUAAAUACUCCUGACUGACCGAUAGUGAACCAGUACCGUGAGGGAAAGGCGAAAAGAACCCCGGCGAGGGGAGUGAAAAAGAACCUGAAACCGUGUACGUACAAGCAGUGGGAGCACCUUCGGGUGUGACUGCGUACCUUUUGUAUAAUGGGUCAGCGACUUAUAUUCUGUAGCAAGGUUAACCGUAUAGGGGAGCCGCAGGGAAACCGAGUCUUAACUGGGCGUUAAGUUGCAGGGUAUAGACCCGAAACCCGGUGAUCUAGCCAUGGGCAGGUUGAAGGUUGGGUAACACUAACUGGAGGACCGAACCGACUAAUGUUGAAAAAUUAGCGGAUGACUUGUGGCUGGGGGUGAAAGGCCAAUCAAACCGGGAGAUAGCUGGUUCUCCCCGAAAGCUAUUUAGGUAGCGCCUCGUGAACUCAUCUUCGGGGGUAGAGCACUGUUUCGGCUAGGGGGUCAUCCCGACUUACCAACCCAAUGCAAACUACGAAUACCGAAGAAUGUUAUCACGGGAGACACACGGCGGGUGCUAACGUCCGUCGUGAAGAGGGAAACAACCCAGACCGCCAGCUAAGGUCCCAAAGUCAUGGUUAAGUGGGAAACGAUGUGGGAAGGCACAGACAGCCAGGAUGUUGGCUUAGAAGCAGCCAUCAUUUAAAGAAAGCGUAAUAGCUCACUGGUCGAGUCGGCCUGCGCGGAAGAUGUAACGGGGCUAAACCAUGCACCGAAGCUGCGGCAGCGACACUAUGUGUUGUUGGGUAGGGGAGCGUUCUGUAAGCCUGCGAAGGUGACCUGUGAGGGUUGCUGGAGGUAUCAGAAGUGCGAAUGCUGACAUAAGUAACGAUAAAGCGGGUGAAAAGCCCGCUCGCCGGAAGACCAAGGGUUCCUGUCCAACGUUAAUCGGGGCAGGGUGAGUCGACCCCUAAGGCGAGGCCGAAAGGCGUAGUCGAUGGGAAACAGGUUAAUAUUCCUGUACUUGGUGUUACUGCGAAGGGGGGACGGAGAAGGCUAUGUUAGCCGGGCGACGGUUGUCCCGGUUUAAGCAUGUAGGCUGGUUAUCCAGGCAAAUCCGGAUAAUCAAGGCUGAGGUGUGAUGACGAGGCACUACGGUGCUGAAGUAACAAAUGCCCUGCUUCCAGGAAAAGCCUCUAAGCAUCAGGUAACAUCAAAUCGUACCCCAAACCGACACAGGUGGUCAGGUAGAGAAUACCAAGGCGCUUGAGAGAACUCGGGUGAAGGAACUAGGCAAAAUGGUGCCGUAACUUCGGGAGAAGGCACGCUGGUGUGUAGGUGAAGCCCCUGCGGGUGGAGCUGAGACCAGUCGAAGAUACCAGCUGGCUGCAACUGUUUAUUAAAAACACAGCACUGUGCAAACACGAAAGUGGACGUAUACGGUGUGACGCCUGCCCGGUGCCGGAAGGUUAAUUGAUGGGGUUAUCCGUAAGGAGAAGCUCUUGAUCGAAGCCCCGGUAAACGGCGGCCGUAACUAUAACGGUCCUAAGGUAGCGAAAUUCCUUGUCGGGUAAGUUCCGACCUGCACGAAUGGCGUAAUGAUGGCCAGGCUGUCUCCACCCGAGACUCAGUGAAAUUGAACUCGCUGUGAAGAUGCAGUGUACCCGCGGCAAGACGGAAAGACCCCGUGAACCUUUACUAUAGCUUGACACUGAACAUUGAGCCUUGAUGUGUAGGAUAGGUGGGAGGCUUUGAAGCGUGGACGCCAGUCUGCGUGGAGCCAACCUUGAAAUACCACCCUUUAAUGUUUGAUGUUCUAACGUUGGCCCCUUACCGGGGUUGCGGACAGUGUCUGGUGGGUAGUUUGACUGGGGCGGUCUCCUCCCAAAGCGUAACGGAGGAGCACGAAGGUUAGCUAAUCCUGGUCGGACAUCAGGAGGUUAGUGCAAUGGCAUAAGCUAGCUUGACUGCGAGCGUGACGGCGCGAGCAGGUGCGAAAGCAGGUCAUAGUGAUCCGGUGGUUCUGAAUGGAAGGGCCAUCGCUCAACGGAUAAAAGGUACUCCGGGGAUAACAGGCUGAUACCGCCCAAGAGUUCAUAUCGACGGCGGUGUUUGGCACCUCGAUGUCGGCUCAUCACAUCCUGGGGCUGAAGUAGGUCCCAAGGGUAUGGCUGUUCGCCAUUUAAAGUGGUACGCGAGCUGGGUUUAGAACGUCGUGAGACAGUUCGGUCCCUAUCUGCCGUGGGCGCUGGAGAAUUGAGGGGGGCUGCUCCUAGUACGAGAGGACCGGAGUGGACGCAUCACUGGUGUUCGGGUUGUCAUGCCAAUGGCACUGCCCGGUAGCUAAAUGCGGAAGAGAUAAGUGCUGAAAGCAUCUAAGCACGAAACUUGCCCCGAGAUGAGUUCUCCCUGAGACUAUAAGUCUCCUGAAGGAACGUUAAAGACGAUGACGUUGAUAGGCCGGGUGUGUAAGCGCAGCGAUGCGUUGAGCUAACCGGUACUAAUGAACCGUGAGGCUUAACCUU